GUUUUCGUGGCCGAGUUAUUAAGGCGAUAUGCUAGAAAUCUUUUGGGAUCUUCCCGCGCAGGUUCGAAUCCUGGCGACAACC
rnacentral:tRNA from 1 species